AUUGAACGCUGGCGGCAGGCCUAACACAUGCAAGUCGAGCGAGAGGCGGACGGGUGAGUAAUGUAUGGGGACUGCCCGAUAGAGGGGGAUAACUACUGGGAACGGUGGCUAAUACCGCAUACUAUCGGAUAACCCAUAUGGGAUUAGCUAGUAGGUGGGGUAAAGGGUCACCUAGGCGACGAUCCCUAGCUGGUCUUAGAGGAGGCUAAGCCAAACGGGGACUUAGACACGGCCGAGACUCCUACGGAGGCAGCAGUGGGGAAUAUUGCACAAUGGGCGCAAGCCUGAUGCAGCCAUGCCGCGUGUAUGAAGAAGGCCUUAGGGUUGGAAAGUACGUUCAGCGGGGAGGCGUUACCCGCAGAAGAAGCACCGGCUAACUCCGUGCCAGCAGCCGCGGUAAUAC
rnacentral:rRNA from 1 species